rnacentral:rRNA from 1 species
GGAAGAUGUAACGGGGCUAAACCAUGCACCGAAGCUGCGGCAGCGACACUGUGUGUUGUUGGGUAGGGGAGCGUUCUGUAAGCCUGUGAAGGUGUGUCGUGAGGCAUGCUGGAGGUAUCAGAAGUGCGAAUGCUGACAUAAGUAACGAUAAAGCGGGUGAAAAGCCCGCUCGCCGGAAGACCAAGGGUUCCUGUCCAACGUUAAUCGGGGCAGGGUGAGUCGACCCCUAAGGCGAGGCCGAAAGGCGUAGUCGAUGGGAAACGGGUUAAUAUUCCCGUACUUGGUGUUACUGCGAAGGGGGGACGGAGAAGGCUAUGUUGGCCGGGCGACGGUUGUCCCGGUUUAAGCGUGUAGGUGUGUGUUCCAGGUAAAUCCGGUUCACUUUAACACUGAGGCGUGACGACGAGGCACUACGGUGCUGAAGCAACAAAUGCCCUGCUUCCAGGAAAAGCCUCUAAGCAUCAGGUAACAUCAAAUCGUACCCCAAACCGACACAGGUGGUCAGGUAGAGAAUACCAAGGCGCUUGAGAGAACUCGGGUGAAGGAACUAGGCAAAAUGGUGCCGUAACUUCGGGAGAAGGCACGCUGACACGUAGGUGAAGUGAUUUACUCAUGGAGCUGAAGUCAGUCGAAGAUACCAGCUGGCUGCAACUGUUUAUUAAAAACACAGCACUGUGCAAACACGAAAGUGGACGUAUACGGUGUGACGCCUGCCCGGUGCCGGAAGGUUAAUUGAUGGGGUCAGCGCAAGCGAAGCUCCUGAUCGAAGCCCCGGUAAACGGCGGCCGUAACUAUAACGGUCCUAAGGUAGCGAAAUUCCUUGUCGGGUAAGUUCCGACCUGCACGAAUGGCGUAAUGAUGGCCAGGCUGUCUCCACCCGAGACUCAGUGAAAUUGAACUCGCUGUGAAGAUGCAGUGUACCCGCGGCAAGACGGAAAGACCCCGUGAACCUUUACUAUAGCUUGACACUGAACAUUGAGCCUUGAUGUGUAGGAUAGGUGGGAGGCUUUGAAGUGUGGACGCCAGUCUGCAUGGAGCCGACCUUGAAAUACCACCCUUUAAUGUUUGAUGUUCUAACGUGGACCCGUUACCCGGGUUGCGGACAGUGUCUGGUGGGUAGUUUGACUGGGGCGGUCUCCUCCUAAAGAGUAACGGAGGAGCACGAAGGUUGGCUAAUCCUGGUCGGACAUCAGGAGGUU